rnacentral:rRNA from 1 species
UACGGAGGGUGCAAGCGUUAAUCGGAAUUACUGGGCGUAAAGCGUGCGCAGGCGAUUUGUUAAGUCCGUUGUGAAAGCCCCGAGCUCAACUUGGGAAUUGCAGUGGAUACUGGCAGGCUGGAGUACGGUAGAGGAAGGUGGAAUUCCCGGUGUAGCAGUGAAAUGCGUAGAGAUCGGGAGGAACAUCAGUGGCGAAGGCGGCCAUCUGGGACAACACUGACGCUGAAGCACGAAAGCGUGGGGAGCAAACAGG